rnacentral:lncRNA from 1 species
CAACGGGUUCCGGGCGCUGUGAGGGCGGGGCGAACACCGUCACCGCCCCGGCGCCACGGAGCUCCGACCCCGGCCGGGCAGCGCGCAGCUCAACGGGCGCACGAGCAGCUUCUGCGGGGGUACAACCGCUCCGCGGCCGUAUCGGUGCGGUAUCCCCCGCUCCAGAGGCGAUAGCUGCAGGCGAUGGACGCUCAGCGCGGCUCCCAUAGGACAGCGCAUGCGAAAGGCAGCACGCGAGGAGUCACACAACAGCUGAGGCUCGGUCGGACCUCACAGCCCACCCGACCCCGACCCUGCCAUGGGCUGGCUGCCCCCCCAGCUCAGGCCCGUCCGCGGCCUGGGGCACCCACAGCUGCUUCGGGCAAAGGCAUGGAAAUACUGUCAAUUCACCGGAGAACAACAGAGCACAUCGCAUGCCAUGCUUCUCUUACAAGUGUGGAAAAGGGAAAGGGAUGCACUGCGCUUCGUAGACUUGAGAAGCUCAGAUUGAGCUCAGCAAGGCACGCGAAGCCCUCAGAAACCUGGGUCAGACGGCUUAGCGAGGUGUGCAGGUAAAGGAACUGUGAUUCUGCUCACGUGCCAUCCGGGAUGCGGGAAAGAGCAAUUUAUUCAAUCCCUGCAGUAGUGAAACGCCGCCACCUGCAGGGGGACAGAGACACGACAGCCAACCACACAUACUGUCAGCCAGCUCUGGUCGUACAAGGAACAUUAGAGCAGAAACACAGCACAUCCAGCCAGGACUUCAGAGCCAGAUACAAACUGGAGGGCACUAUGGGGUGGACCAGGAACCUCAGAGCCAGAGGUGGGUAUCGUUCCGUGUGAAGGAAACACAGCCAGCUUCUUCAGCUUUGAGGGUUAACAGGAGAUGUCACGAAGAUCAGCUGCAGGCUACCACAACUGUCAGCCUUGGGAAUUAUUUGAGGGUUUUGCAUUGUUAAGAUAAAACAGCUGAGAUCUAACCCGUCCAGCAAUGUUAAAAGCUGAGCUGGAAGCUUCUAAGAGCUGCUGAGAAGGAGGAAGUGAGCUGCUGUACCAGGCUUUGCUGGGAAAACUAUCAAGCUUCUAGGUUCACAAACAUUUCCCUACCAGGCAGACGAGGGGUACCCAAACCAAACAUUGCCAUCACAUACUCAAUAUCCAACUCAUUAAAGCUAUUUAAACUGUUAAGAAAAAUCUCAUGUUUUUAUUGUGUAAUGUAGCAUUGAAACAUCUGAACAAAUCGGUAUCUGGGCUGUACAGGCUGCUGUUCUUUCAAUUCUUUGGGUUAUAGAGCAUCUUGUCAGUACAGAAACAACAACCUUUUGCAUUUUAAAUUCUUUCCGAGGCAUGCUGGUACAACACAAAUUUCUCUUGUCAAAUGCAGCUAACUAACUUCCAAACAUCAUGCACAAGGAACUCAUCUAGUGACAAUGUAAACUCAGCAGAAGGGCAGGUCACAGCUCUUGCUUGCUCGCGCUCUGCAGUGCUGCAGGUUUGUGUAUGAUAUUUGGAAUGUUCUGUGAGUGUGAAUAAUAUCAGUAAGAGGAGAGGAGAAAAAAAAGAACAGGUGCCUCGGGGUCGCCAGCUCAGCCAAAGUUGUGCAAUGCUAGCCUGAACAUGUCAUUGGUGCAAACCCAGGCAUCGUUGAUGUUCUUUAAUAGAAAUAUCUGGUGGAAUCCCAUGAUAGGAUCUUCAUCAGCCUGUGGAAAGAAAGGAGAAGUGUUCAAAAAUCUCUGGCUUGAGAAAUGUAUUCCAACACACAGUAAGAAAACUUAAAAAGCUAAUGCUCAUAGUGACACUGCAUGCUGUAAGAUAGCUAAUACCUCGAGACACUCACACAACCAGAGGUCCCGUUCCAAGUUGCUCGCAAACACACACCCAGGGCCCACUGACAGAAAUCCUGUGAUGGUUUGUUAGAGAUUUCUGGAAUAAUUACAGACAUCUCAUUCCAGCAACUUCACAGCACCAGUGGAAGCAUGCCUGCCUCACCCUGUGGAGCCACAGACUUUCCCUGGGCCUUGCCCAAGGAACCAAGUAUAAGAUGACACGUUUUCAAAUUAGGUUGUAACUACUGUAAGUUUGGAUUGGACCUCAGAAGAGGUUUUCUCUAGAAGCCAACAGCAACAGUGCUGCCUGAACUCUCUCUGUAACGAUCUAGGCUUUCAAAAGGUUUCCCAGAGCAGGUACAGCUGGCCAGCAACACAGUGCUUCCUGCUGCCAUUUCCAGGACCAACUCUGAAAUGGUAGCUGUGGCUGCAAGGAGGUGUUGAAAAGCACAAAGAAUCUUUCCAGCAGUGCCUUACCUUCUGUCUUUGCCAAUUCAGCACCGUGUUUACAGGAAUUAGGGACUACAGAAGCAGGAAUAUCAAUAGUACUGAAUUGAAUAGUAAUGUAGGGAGGCUAGUUCUCCAAUCUAAUGCUUACCAGUCUCAUCAGACAUACAGUCUCAAUACGAGGUGGAAAUCACAACAGGAUUUAAUCUGAACAAUGCAUAGGGUCUAGUAACAAAACAAUCCCCUUACACUGACCAUACUGUUUUCAGUAUGGUCAGUAUUUUUGGAGGAUUUUAAGCUUUCAGAAUGAAAAGGGGGAAAAAACAUAAAAGGAAAGUAUUGAAAAGCAGCAGC